rnacentral:rRNA from 1 species
AGAUUGAACGCUGGCGGCACGCUUAACACAUGCAAGUCGAGCGGUAACAUGGUUAGUAGCAAUACUAACUGAUGACGAGCGGCGGACGGGUGAGCAACACGUAGGAACUUGCCCAGUAGAGGGGACAACCAAGGGAAACUUUGGCUAAUACCGCAUAUUCUCGAGAGAGGAAAGCUGCCAGCAAUGGUGGCGCUAUUGGAGAGGCCUGCGUCUGAUUAGCUAGUUGGUGGGGUAAUAGCCUACCAAGGCGAUGAUCAGUAACUGGUCUGAGAGGACGACCAGUCACACUGGGACUGAGACACGGCCCAGACUCCUACGGGAGGCAGCAGUGGGGAAUAUUGGACAAUGGGCGAAAGCCUGAUCCAGCAAUGCCGCGUGGGUGAAGAAGGUUUUCGGAUUGUAAAGCCCUUUCGGCGGGGACGAUGAUGACGGUACCCGCAGAAGAAGCUCCGGCUAACUUCGUGCCAGCAGCCGCGGUAA